UACAGAGGCCCCGAGCCGUUAGGCGGAAUCACUGGGCUUAAAGCGUGUGUAGGCGGACUUCUAAGUACCUUGUGAAAUCCCACAGCUUAACUGUGGAACUGCUUGGUAUACUGGUUGUCUUGAGGUACCUAGGGGCGAGCGGAACAAGUGGUGGAGCGGUGAAAUGCGUAGAUAUCACUUGGAACGCCAACGGUGAAAACAGCUCGCUGGGGGUAUCCUGACGCUGAGACACGAAAGCCAGGGGAGCAAACGGG
rnacentral:rRNA from 1 species